rnacentral:lncRNA from 1 species
CCUCCCGCAUACUUUAAAUCAUCUCUGGAUUACUUGUAACACCUAAUACAAUGUAAAUGCUAUGUAAAUAGUUGUAAAAGCAAUGUAAAUGCUAUGUAAGUAGUUGCUGGAACAUGGCAAAUUCAAGUUUUCCUUUUUGGAACUUUCUGGAAAAAUUUUUUUCUGAAUAUUUUCAAUCUGUUGUUGUGAAUCCACAGGUGUGAAGCCCACAGAUACAGGAGGCCAACUGUAUUUGUUGCCAAAGAUAAAAUUUGAGCUUUCAAAUGAAAAUCAGGGUUUGGGAAAAACCUGUGUCUGUUACUGGCAGCUUGACAUUCUUCCCAAUGCUGAAAAGACUUUUCUGAUGAAAUUAGUAAUAUUAACAAAUGUGUACUUUUUCGACAUUGUAUAAGUGAAAUAAGUGAACAUUUGGAUGAUCUGCAUAAUUUAGUGUACCAAUAUUUUCCAAAUGACCAAGGCACGCUGCUAUAAAAUCAUAUAUGGGUAAAUGGCCCCCUCAAAAAGCAGGAUAAAUCAAUGGAUUUUAAUGCAUUAGAAUAUGAAAGGCCAUUCAGUUGGUUUAAGCAACUAAGCUUUAAGAAACCGUCACUUGCAAGUUUUUGAUUACCAAAGAACAUCCACAAUUACCUGCAGCAGGUCCUCCUCUCUUCUUUUAAAUUACAUACCUACAUGAUUAAAAGCUAAGUUUUCUUCAUAUACUUCAACCAAAACAAAUAUUACAACAGAUUGAAUGUAGAAGCAGAGAGGAAAAUGCAGCUGUCUUCCAUGAAGUCAUGUAGUAAAGAGGUUUACAAAAGUGUAAACCAGUGUCACUUGCCUCAGCAGACUGUUUUGGAACAUAGAGUUAUUUUUUAUUAAAAAUGUGUUAAUUAUGGUAGUGUGCAUUGGCUUGAUUAAAAAUUUACAUACAAAUAUUUAAGAAGUUUCUCAAUUUAAAAUUCGAAUCUGGGAGUUCCCAUCGUGGCUCAGUGGUUAACGAAUCCAACUAGGAACCAUGAGGUUGCAGGUUUGAUUCCUGGCCUCUCUCAGUGGGUUAAGGAUCCGGCCUUGCUAUGAGCUGUGGUGUAGGUUGCAGAUGCAUUUCAAAUCUGGCAUUGAUGUGGCUGUGGCAUGGGCCAGUGGCUACAGCUCCCAUUAGACCCCUAGCCUGGGAAUCUCCAUAUGCCUCGGGUGCGGGCCUGGAAAAGACAAAAAUAAAAUAAAAUAAAAUUCAAAUCUGAUAAAUAUCAAUAGAUACAUUCUAAACAAAGAAAACAUAUUGAGGUCCUUGAUUAUUCUGAAGAUGUAAAGGGGUGGUGAGACCACAAAGUUUGGGAAAUGCUGGUUUAAAAACACAGGAUUUAUUUCUGGGCCUGGGAGGGAGCUGCUUUGCCUAGCAGCACAUGGCUACCUGAGACCUGAACCAGGUAGGAAUACCGUUACCAAGGAACAGGUGGGAGCAGCGUGGUCACCUGGCAUUUAUCAUAGACUCCUGGUGAGGAAGGGAACGAGGAAGUAGCAGCUACUGGUUCAAGGAGAGGAGACCAUAGCUCGGGGGGGGGGGUCGGGGGGAGGAAAUAAGGUCAAUAGAUGACUCCCCCAACUUCCCCUCUUCCUCCUCUGCCCUCUUUUAUAUUAGAGAAGAAAGACUCAAAGAAUGUAUUAGAAAAGGCAGACAAAAGUCAGUGCGGGUGACAGUAUACAAAGUAUAGAAAAAUGAAGUUGGAAAAACUGUCAGAAUCCUUUCCUCUUGACCUUAUUUUUUUUUUUUUUUUGUCUUUUUGUCUUUUGAGGGCCGCACCCAUGGCAUAUGGAGAUUCCCAAGUUAGGGGUCUAAUCGGAGCUGUAGCUGCCAGCCUACCCCACAGCCACAGCAACGUGGGAUCCUAGCUGUGUCUGAGACCUACACCAUAGCUUGUGGCAACGCUGGAUCCUUAACCCACUGAGGGAGGCCAGGGAUAGAACCCGCAGCGUCAUGGUUCCUAGUCAGAUUCGUUUCCGCUGCACCACAACGGGAAGGAACUUCCCUUGACCUUAUUUUAAUGUGGAAUAAUAUCCCAUGUUUUUCUGGGGUUCAUAAAUACAUGUACGUAUACAUGCAUCCAAGUUGGAAAUGUAUGCAUAUAUUCCUAAAAGCUGCUUUCCAGUGGGGCUGAAAGAUGUAUCCUUCAACUGAAACCUAAUGAUUCCAAUUAACACAACUGUAUGAGGAAAACCUUUCAGGAAAGUGUCAUGUUUUAAUAUUUUGUUUUUAUUUUUUCUUUCGGAAGAUCCUGAAAAGAGGGAGGGGGAAAGAGUGAGGUUAGGGGGGGUUUUAUAUCACUAAGCCAGAUAAAGACCAGGAUAAAACUAUUAAAAUUUUUGAAAAAGACAUGAAUCUUCCGACUUGGCCACCAUGACCUUACUGUCCACUUUAAAAAUAGGCACAACUUAAAAGCUGAGAAUUCAGUUGUACUGGGGCACAAUGAGGACCUUAGCCCAGAAGGCAGCAUUUCAGAGAGCUCUGAGAGACCCCUCCAAAGAGGUAGGGGGAACGUCAGUGUAUAUCUGAUUUUGGUGAAGGGGGAGGUCCAUGCAAACAAGCACACAUUUUACUGAAGGUCGCUGCUAGUCUCGUGAAGGUCACUGCUAGUCCUAGCAGACGUCACCAUGAAGGAUUUUUGUGCUUUUGUAGAUACGAGGAGAUGCAAGAAUUGGUCUCAUAAAAUCUUCUCCUGAAAAUAUCUAACUACCUGCCGACCUGUUCUGCCAGUUUUCCAAGAGCACAGAGGGCCUCACUCCUGAUCUCCACUCUGAGCUCCUUUAGGGGCUGCUGAGGGCUGGCAGCUGCAGCGGCUCAUGAUUCACUCCAUGUAGAGGCAGAUGGCAAGUGCCAAGCUCCAGGUCACAUUACCGUGGAGCAGAAGGGAUACGUAUGAGUCUCCACAUUGACCAAAUGAUGAUUAAAACCAUACCAUCCAGUUCCAGGUUCUUGAGGCUCCUUCCUGAGAUUGUCACCUCUGGGUCUUUGUCAUUUGUUUUACCUGCCAUAACCUCCCCACGCAUGCAGGUGGUGUGACGUCUCUGUCUCCUGGACUAGACCUUACGCUAAUAGCGAUCCUUGUUCAUGCUGUGUCUUCUUUGACUUUGCCUUUCUAGCCCUAACUUGUGUUUAACAUAUUUAAGGGACUUUAGAAAUGCUUUCAAGGACAGUUGUUGUAACUUGCAGCUGUUUUACACUCUGGAUGCGGGUAGCCUCCAGGAUCAUGGAACACAGCUUGGCACUUGUUCUAGGGGAGACAGAAGGCCUGAUGUUGCCAUGUCCUACUGAGCUGUCACUCUGGGGCCAGCUGUGACCACCUUAUUCCUGCUCCCUGACUCCUUGAGAUUCUUUUUGCCCUCCAUUCCCCUGGAUCAUCCCAGAUCUGAGCUAAGCCUUUCUUCAGCUUCUCGGCUCUGGCUCUGCAGUCUGGGUUCCCAUCUGGCUCCUGGCCCAUCUUCCUCUCUCACUAUUGCACAAGCGGUUCCCUUGGCCUGAAACAUUCUCCCCCGGUUUCCUCUCUGGCAAAUGCCUGCUCACCCCUUAAGACCAACUCCGGAGUUACACGUUCUGUGCCAUAUUCCCUGGUUCUCCCGAACAAUCUCCUUUCCCCCAUAGCUUUUUGUUCACAUCUGUGUUACUUACUGUCCUUCUUACCAAGGGUCAGGCUUUGCCAUUUAGACCCACUGGGAGCUUCCAGGGCCAGAGGCUCUGCUGUACCCCUCAGUGUGCUGUGCGUGUAGCAUGUAGCAGAGGAACAGCAUGUGCUUUGUGUCGCAUGGAUGCUCAGGCUUCAGCGAGGGAACCAGGACAGCGACGCAGGUCUGGGUCUCUGGCUACUUGUCUGACCACAUCUUCAUCUUCUAUGCAUGUCACCCCACCCGAUCACUCUCCUUUCUUUUUUCCAUGCUUCUUUGCCUUCAGCUGGAAGCUGGAGCCUUUCAUCAAGUGUCCCUGGGAGCCCACGUCUCACCCGAGGCCCAGCUGCUGAAUAAUCAUUGCCAAUUAGGAUACACAGGUAUUGUCAUUUAGCAUAAGUUUUCACAAGGCAGUAUUCUGUCCAUACUAAGCAGUGAGUUAUACAUGUGGGGACACUCAAUGGAGGCUGUUUUUCAAACAACAAAUCAAUUAACCUAUUAACUUGUGUCUGUUGAGCCCCUAUGUUACGGGGGACUGAACAGAAGACAAAGAAAUAAAUUAGCUUUAUUUAUAUGCUGUUGCCAAUAUCUGGCCUGACCAAAAGGAGUUCUUUAUGUAGCUGGUGUUGCAGAGACCCUAGAAGGGUGAGUAAGUCACCGCAGGAAACCUGAGGGGCCUGGUGUGUGGUUGGGCCUUGGGAGGCCAGGCCCAGAACUUGCCUUGGGUCCUGAAGGUGGGCAAGAGUCACCUUCUGGAGAGUCACACACCCAAAUGCUGGAGAACUAGAGAAGGUCUGUGUUUGGAGUGGGCUGGCAGGAGCCUUGGAAAGCUUGUCCUGAGCCUGCAGGAGAGCAGGCUCUGGGUAGGUGACCCUGCCUGGGAAAAGACAUCCUGAUGUGGCUAGUGGAGGUUUUAGGACAGACCAGCAAUUCCACACAGUGGUGUUUAGUGAAGAUUAGGCUGACAACAUUCUAGGUUCAGUACAUUCUCCUUUUGAGAUUUUUUUUUUUUUUUUUGAUCCAGGGAUACUAAUAGGCAAUGAAGAUAUGUUAGAUCUACUCCUUUCCUUUAAGGGUUGUCUGGCCUCCUAAUAAAGAGGGAUUGGGAAUCAGCUUCUUGCUCGACUUAAAAUGUCAUGUCAAGGCUCUCUGCACGGGGCCCUCAAAGCCAUUCUUGGCUCUCUCCUCCUGGGUGAGACAUCUUGGCACUGGGCUUCACAAGACAAAAGCCAUCUGUAGGAGGUCCCGUCGUGGCUCAGUGAGGUGUAGGUCGCAGAUGUGGCUCGGAUCUGGCAUUGCUGUGGCUGUGGCAUAGGCCAGAGGCUACAGCUCUGAUUCGACCCCUGGCCUGGGAACCUCCAUAUACCAUGCGUGCAGCCCUAAGAAGACAAAAACAACAAAUGAG